CUGCACCAGUGAAGAUUUUGCUAUUAUUGAAUCAAUCAUGUCUGCGCCUAAAGAUACUAAGUUCGUCGACAUUGGUGAUUCUUUAUUAUCUAAUGAUGACUUGAGAUGUCUUACACGUGAUGAUGCAUUCUUGCCAGGCGACGUAAGUCAACAACACAGAGACCACUACUUACACAUUAUCUAAAAUUGUCUUGAACUUAAAUAUCUUUUAUGUGUUCGAUUAUAGGUUAUAAAUGCAUAUAUUUAUUGUAUAAGCGCAUGUGAUCAUCUGCGGGAGAGACCGGGUGGAAAGGUAUAUCUCGAUACCACAUUCGCAGCUGCCGUACUGAAAAAAUCAGAACAUCACCGUGCCAUGAAACGGGUGCAUCUUUAUCUAAAGCAUGACAUGGUCUUAUUUCCUAUAAAUAUAAGUAAGACGCACUGGUAUUUACUGGUCGUAAAUGCAAAAAAGCGUGUGAUACAAAUAUUGGACUCCCUUGGUGAUUCAAUGGGGCGGAGUGACAUCAGUGUUAUGUUGCAGGGACUUGAGAAGCAUUUGAAAAUCGCAUCCCAAAUGAAAGAUUUUAACAAAGGUGAUAGGUGGAUGGAUCUCGAUGUCACAACAUGGCCAGUAGUAGAACAGUUUCAACAACGUAUGCAAACUGAUGGGUAUGUUGACCU